AUUAAAUGGGUCAUUUAACUAACAUUUUCUGAUGUACAAAACCCUCGAGAGAGGCAAAUGUAAAACAUACCAAGGCCUUUAUAUGAAAAAGAGAAAACCUCAGAUAAACUAAUAGUAAUUUAUUUGAUGUUCCAAACAUAUUAAAACCCUCACUUACAUAUAAGAAGAGGGGAGAUAAACACAGCUAAUGCAAUGGCUUGCGCAGCGCUCAUUGGCUUCUCAGUGUUUUUUUAUCCUUGGUGUCAGCUAUCCCAGCAAGUGGACGAGCUCUGAGACCCCAGAGAUGCUCACGCCUCGACUAUGAGAAAACCGUCCUCCGAGUUACAACAGCUUGAAACUCAAGGGAAACACAAUCGACGACCACAAAAACAGAGAACCCUCUUCCGAAAAAACCUCAUGACCUGCGAACAAACACCCACCGCAAAAUAUAUAUACAUCUAACCCGGAGGUGGGGUAAACCACCCAUAGUCCGGGCCGUAAGAGGAAACCUUCCCCUAUCCACAGAGAAACGAAAAGUGAGCCCGAGGGAAGAAAACCGAAAAAACGGUGGCUUUUCUCCCUCCAGAAUAUUUGCCUAAUGGAAGAAAUUUAGUUAGGUUGGUGAGAGCUAGAUAUAGUGCUUUUGACUGACAAGAAACGCACUAACAUGCUAUAAAUAAAAAAGAUUGUAUGCUCAACUUGAUGUGAGAAGCUAUAUUGAGACUGACUUUGAUACUAUUUUAAUAAAUUGAAAUGUCAAUGUAGAACACAUUUAAACUCUUUGCUACUGUUGGCCCCAAUCAACGAUUUCUCCUCAACUGCACAAUGAUUUGAACUAUUAUUAUAUAAACUAUUUCAGGGAAAAAAGAAAUAAACAUUAGAUACUUGAUUUUCUUUCUAAAACUCAAGCGCUAAGCUUGAUUAACUAAUUUUUUAUAAUUUAGAUAAAAGAAAGAAUCAAAUGCAAGGCAUUUCAGAAAGAGGAUUAUACGUGAAUGCUUUCAAGGCAUGCUUACUGCCUAUGAAACUAAAUGUAUGUGCUAUACAAUAUCUAGUAUUUGUACAUUUAACCGUUUAUGAAGCAAAAUAUAGACAAUGAAUUCAACUACUCUUGUGCAGAUCCUGUAUAAACUCCUUUUGGGUCACCAAUGGAUGACCCACCUUGCCAGCACAGAGAUAGCAUGUUGGAAAUUCCUCCAUCAGCUCUUAUGACCCGUAAUCCUGAAUAGUUCUAUAACAAUCUCUGUCAGAAACCCAUAAGUCUCCGCACUCAACAGGGCUAAGCAAAAUUUCCAGUUGACACCUUCAAAUAUCAAUAUC
rnacentral:misc_RNA from 1 species